GGCGCCUUCCGUUCAGUCGUCAUCACGUUGCUCCGGGGGUAGGUCCACGCCGCAGUGCACGCCUGCCCGGCGCGCCGCCUCACCAGCGCCGUUGCUAAGAGGCCUUGGAUACCUGGCCGCGGGAUGCGGGGCGGUGUCAGGUGAAGAUGGUGGUCACUGGGCCUCAGGUAACCAUGGAGAAAGAGCUUCGGAGCACCAUUCUUUUCAAUGCAUACAAAAAAGAAGUAUUUACCACCAACAAUGGCUAUAAAUCCAUGCAGAAAAGACUUCGGAGUAAUUGGAAGAUUCAGAGCUUAAAAGAUGAAAUCACAUCUGAGAAGCUAAUUGGGGUGAAACUGUGGAUUACAGCUGGGCCAAGGGAAAAAUUUACUGCAGCUGAGGUAAGAAAUAUCCAAAAAG